GUGAAUCAUCGAAUUUUUGAACGCAAAUUGCGCUUCCUGGCAUCCCGGGAAGUAUGCCUGUUUGAGGGUCAGUAUUAAUAAAAAAUCGGUUUAGUUACAAAUUGUGACGUUUCCGGAGUGUGGUCUAUCUUAACAUUUUUAGUUAAUGUGCUUAAAAUUGACCUUUUUUGCGCAUUCUUAGACGUACAUAAAUUUUUUUUUUUAUUCCUCUUUUCUUAAUGCCAAAAUCGUAUUAGAC
rnacentral:misc_RNA from 1 species